AAAAUGUUCAAGAUUCAGAGAUAAAUCUAAGAAACCCAAAACGGCGCUGGCUACCGUUGGAGCACUACUGCUGCGGGUGAGCCCUUGCGGUUCCAUUAGCGUGUGGCACACGACCUCCGGAUCGAACGUUCCGGCGUCGUAGUCGUGCACUUCUCCCCUAGUAGAACGUUGCGACCCGUUGUGUGUCGAUCUACGACCCGAGUGGGCGCCAGUCGCGUCAUUUCGGCGCACGCGGCAGACCCUCGAUCGCCCGGCCGGCUGCACAACCGUACACUCACGGUAUCGGGCCGCAAGCAGUCCAUNCUCGAAUGCGUGUGCGUCCAACCCGCCGCAAGAUCUAUCAGUUUUUACCCGGAGAUACGGACCCUGUGCCGUCCCCAGGCCUGGCCAGCUGUUAGCAGGCGGUGUCCUCGGACUGGCCAAACCUGAUUACCGGUCGGCGAAGCUAUUACUUUGGAUACUUUCAGGACCCGUCUUGAAACACGGACCAAGGUUUCUAACAUGUGCGCGAGUCAUUGGGAUGCCUAAAGGCGAAAUGGAAGUGAAAGUCGGUCUUCGCGCCGAUCGAGGGAGAAUGGGCUCGUAACCAUGCGGCCUCGCACUCCCGGAGUGUCUCGUUCUCAUUGCGGAACGAAGCGCACCUGGAAUGUA
rnacentral:rRNA from 1 species